CUCCUCUCCCUGCCUCCCCUCACAGUGGCUGGGAUGAACCUGUGCUGUCUGGGUCUGGGCCCAGUUCAGGAGCCUGGUCCAAGUCCAUGGCUUCCUGGGAAUUUUAUUAAACACCUGGUAAGGCUUCCUGUGACAUAAUUUUUCCGCCUAGAGAAGAAAAGAGGUGGCCUGGUGACGUUUUAAUGGAGUUAUGAACGUCUGAGCACAGAGCCGUGUUUUAGGAUCUCAGUUAUGGGAUCGUUCUUGACCUUGGGCAGCUGCUGCUGGACGGUAGGUCCGGGUGCCGCUGUGACUGGAUCAGGGGACAUGGGGUGUGGGCGCAGGGUGGAGAUCCAGGGCAUCAGCACACACUGGGCCCGCCCCCCUCCUGUCCUGGGGAUGGGCAAGACUGGGCGACCCGGGCCAGCUUUGACGGUGUGUGGAGCCUCAAUGAGAGAGCCAGAUCACGCGUUGGGAUGCCCAUCUGAGUGGCAGCACCGUACAAUCAGCCUGGACCUGGGAGAGAACAGGGCUGCAGAAGAUGGAGGGCUCAGGGCCCUCGUGCAGCCUGUGGGUCUCCGUUCCCCCCCUCAGGGUCUGAACCCCAGGUUCUGUGGCUUUCCUAUCACGGAGCUUGCACCAGUGGGCCCGGGACUGACGGCUGCAGCCUGAGACCCAGAAGGACCCCGGCGGCUCCUGGGUGCUGUGGACUCCGUCUGCGCCCGCUCCCAGCUCUCCUGGUUUCCCACCUCGCAGAUGGGUCCUCCUGGGACUUGGCAGCCUCCAUCACAGGAGAGCCCCUUCCCCUAGCAAACCCCUUCCCUGCACCCUUCUCAGUGCUGUGAGUCUGACCCCCUGGAGAACCUGGAGCAAUUCUGAAUCAUCUGGGGACCUUCUGGGCACACUGGUGAGGAGAGGGUGGGGCUGGGAUUUCUGAGGUUCUGGGAGCUCCCAGGUGGGUGGGGGGCAAGGACCUCAGUCAGGUGUCCUCAGAGCCUCUGUGGAUCCCUGCUCUGGACCGUGAGAACCAAGAGGGCCCAGGUGGCUGUGUGGAUGGAGACCUGGGAGCUGCCCCUUGCACAGGCGUCCACUGACCAGCUGCACACUAAUGGGGCGUGGUAGCGGGCGGCUCCUCCCACACUCGCCCCGGGAUUAGAACCAGCUGCGGGCUGGAAGGAGCAGUCCGUGCAUCUCCCCGGGGAAAUUCAGGUGUUAAGCAUUAGGAAUAUUUUAUAUUGAAUCACCUGGGUCCCAGGACAGGUUGCGCCUGGGUCUUGCGGUGGUGUGGGGAUUUCAUGAGUUGUGAGCAUGGGCAUUGCUAGGAGCAGGCGUGGGCUGAGGGUGUCCUCUUGGGGCAGGGGCAGCAGGACCACUGAUUAGGCCCCAGUUAGUUUCUGCCUCGUCAUAUUCCAGUCCCCUCUGACACCCACACGUGGACGUGGGGAGGUCUCAGGAGAACGGGUGCCUUCUGGGUCUGCAAGGUGCAGGGCCACCCUGAGGGCAGGACCAGGAGUGCGCUCUGGGCUGAGCUGGUGGCCCUGGUGCUUGUGCCUCCUGUGCCCAGGGCUGGCAGGAGGGGCCAGGGCCACGGGCAGUGGAGAGAGGGAGGUGGACAGGUCUUCUGUGUGUCCUGUGUGCUGUGGCCGUGGACGUGUGGUCCCGCCCUGGCAGGCUGCAGCUCCUCCAGGGUGGGAGCAGACACAGCACCGCCCUGGCUGACUCCUGCCCCCCACCCCAGGGUCCUCAUCUCCAGAGGGGCGGCCUCUGCCUCUACCAGCACCCGCAUGUGUGUGCAGGAAACUGCUCAGCGCAGGGCACGCCUGGGCCCGAGGCGUCCGUGACCAGGAGGUGGGGAGCCCAGCACCCUGGGGCUCAGUGCUCUGAGGGCUCCGGGGACUCCCACUAGAGGAACCAGGUGAUGUCAGCUCCCAGAAUCAGUCUCCUGGACGGCGUGUGGGUGCUGCCGUGGAGACCAGUGUGAGUGUGCCUCGUCCUCACUGCCCCAUGCAGAGGACAACAGUGGCUUCUCCGUCCCCCGGGGAGCAGCUGCUGCCUGGGAAGAACUUGUAGCCCUGGGUGGGUGCUCACGGAUGUCCCUGAACUACCGCCUCUGCUGCCCGCAAAGUGCCUGGUUUGUAAUUUAUGACAGAUGUCAUGUCGAGAAAUGUGCACGAAAAAUCGUCAGGACUCAGUGACCGUAAUGGGCACCUGUGGUCACACAAGGGGAGCAGAGUGCUGGAGCCUGGACAAGAAGCUUGGAGCUGCGCCUGGGCCCAGGUGAGUCCCAGCUCCAGUGCCUGCUACUACCUUGGUUUCCCAACCCGUGGGGUUCUGUUUCUAGGCUCUGUCAAGCUUGCAUGAGCAAUAGGAGCCACUGCCUUGGAGGGUACCCCCACCGUAGCACCCAGAAUAGUUCCCAACUCUCCUGAGCUUCUGAGUGGUGCUGGGUCCUUAGGGGCCAUGGGCAGCCUGGGCGGGGUUCUGGGAGCUGUCAGCCUCUGUGGGUCCUGGGCUAUGGGGGAGCUGGCUCCUUCCUGUGACCGCCCACUGGCCUUUCCUUUGUCCUUGCCCCUUCUCCUUGCCUCUCUGUCCCUCCCCUGUUGGAGGCCCCGAGCCUGAUUUGGGGCUCUCUCUCCCCUUCUUUGUCCUCAGGGAGACGCAGGAGCAGCCAGGCCGGGAGCACCUGCACCUCCCAGAGUUCCCUCUUGUUCUCCUACACAGGGAACCCCCAGUGCCUACUGUGGCUGUCUUCCCUUUACUGACCUCUUGGCUCCACCCCAGCCCAGGACUCCUGCCUCCCUGGGUGUCCCAUAUUGAUCCUGUAUGGACCUGACCACUCCCCCACGCUGGGAAAUGGUGGUGGUCAAACUGCCGCCCAGGCUGGGGCCAGAGUGAGUGAGGUUAUGGCUGCGAAGCUCCCAGCAGUGGACGAGCCCAUAGGCGAGUCCUCAGGGCAGACAGAGGCUGUGCUGGGGUUGUUAUAUCUUAAUGUUAGCCGUCGCAAAGCACACCGGACACCGGAGUAAGGGAAAGGGUUUAUUGGGAACACCCUACAGACCGGAGUGAAGGGGUGGCGAAGGAAAAAAGAGAGAAAGAGAGUCUAAGAGAGAGAAACAGAGAGGAGGGUAGCUAGCAAAGAGAGAAGAUAGAGCAGAGAAGAGGAGAGAGGAGAGCGGAGAGCAGAGUCAAGAGACCAGAGGAGGAGGCUAGAGAGAGCAACCAAGAGAGAGCAGGAGAGAAGGGGCAAGAGAACACGUGUUCAGGAACAGGCUCUUUUAAAACUUUGCCUGAGGGUGGGCAGGGAAGCAGGAGCAGCCAAUCCCAUUAGGAUGGGGGUGGAGCCUGGCUCAGGUAGCUGGACCAUGCGGCCAACUGCGCCAGUUUCCUAACAGGAGUCUCCCCCUAGAUCUGGGACACCAGGUCUUGCAGGAGACCCCCCCCCCCCCGCAUGUUGCAGUGCAUUCGUUUCUGGGAGGAGGAGUGUGGUGGGGGCAAGAGGGCGUGGAGUCACCACACAGACCCCGGGAGUCGGGUGAGAGCAGGCCUGGGAGAAGCACGGGAUGCAGGCCCCGUGAGCCGUGGCUUUACAGCUCCGUCACAGCACCGCUGACUUGAGUGACAGAACAUUUGAUGUAGCGUCGCGAUGCCAGUGACGCUGCACCAUGGUUUGAGGCGAUCAUUCAGGGGGUGAAGAGAAAGGAGUGGAUACACUGAGUCUGCAAAAGGCAAAAUUAUGGAAGAUGCUAAGACUAGAAAUGAAAAGGUUUUGAAAUAUCCUACAGGGUUUAAUUUCUCAAAACACUAAUAUCUCUCUCUUCAACCUAAGAAAGAAUUGUGCAGUCUUUGUCUUACUCAAGUGGAAAGGCGCCUGUGCAAACCAGCGUGGGGCAGCACCUGCUGCGGUUUCCUGCUCUGACAUCAGAAGGCGCCAUUGUGACGUCAUGCCCUCUGCCUGCACAAAGCCUUGGCUUGGCCUGGGUUCUGUCAUUUGCCCAGGAAGUGCUGUCCGGGUGACCCGGGGCUGGGAACAGCUGCCUGUGUUUCCCUUGUUAGGUUUUUGUUCUUCCUGCUGCUGUUGUUUUAGUCAAAUUUGUUUUUUGUUUUUCCAUUUUGAUUAUUUUGUUCUUUUUUCUAUUUUGUUUAUUUUUUUCCUCCAGCAUUUAUAGUCUUUUUCCCUUUCUUAUUGAUUUUCCUUGGAUAUUUCAUUUCCAUUUGGAUUUUUUCUUCAUUUUUUCCAUUGGCUUUCCUCUAGUUUGUGAUUGUUCUUUAUAUUUUCUCCCAUUUUUGGGUUUCCGGUUUUUCACUUUGAGUUUUUUUCUCUUUUUUAUUCCCCCCCAUUUUUAAAAAUAAGACUGUGAGGCCGUCUGCUUUGGUCAUUAUACAGUUCAGGUUAUUUGGAUUUUUUCUUUAUGCUUUAUUAUUCAUUUAUUUUUGUUUUCUUACUUUUAACUGUUUCGAUAGGGUUAGUCUCAGUUGUGAGUCUAGUUGAGUUCAUUUAGUUCCUGUUUUCUGUUGGUGAUGUGAGCUGAGGUCAUUUUGUGUUCUGAUUUCUGUUCAUUUAAUUUAGUUUGUUUCAUGUUCCUUUGUUCUCAAGUAGUCAAAGCCGUGAGAGCUGAUCUGUGUCAGCUGCUGGCUGGGGGUCUCCCAGACGUCAGCCCUGCUGACCCUUCCUGGGGGAGCCCUGGAGAGGGAGAGGAAUCCGGAGGAAGAAUCGGAUCCUGCUGCUCCUGUUGGGUCAAAUUUGUUUUUUCUUUUUCCAUAUUGAUUACUUUGUACUUUUUCUAUUUUACUUUGUUUCCUGCCACAAUUCAUGUUCAUUUUGUGUUUUCUCAUUUUAACAUUUUCUUCCACUAGAACAGUCUCCGUUGUUGGUGUGGUGUAGUGGAUACAGUUCAUGUUUUCUGUUGGUAACGGGAGCAGAGUGAGUUUGUUCAUUUUUGUGUUUUGAUUUCUGUUCAUUUGAUUUCUGUCGUUGCAUUUUCAUUUGUGCACCACUCGUCUCCCUUCCUGGGAGCCCCGGGAGAGGGAGCAGAAUCCCGAGGCCAGAAUCGCAUCCUGGAUGGGGACUUCCCGGGGGGGCGGGACUGACUGCGGUCCCCCAAGCCCUCUUUGUCCCCAGAGGUUCCUGCGUCUCUUGGCAGAGCAGGGCAGGAGGUGUCCAUGGCGGCUCCUGGACAGAGCUGAGAAGGCUGUCAGGGGAGGGGCCAUGGCAGUGCGGGCCCUUCUGUCCUGUGCACAGGGGCUCUGCUGGCCUGUCUGUGGUGGCUCUCCAAGAUUCAAGACCCAAAGAAGCCCCAGAAACCUGAUCUGCACCAGCAAGAAGACUUCCUGUGGAAGGACCUCUUGGUGGUCACCACGAGCAUCCACGGGAAGAUGGACUCCGAGACGCCCAGCUCAGUAUCCUCGCCCUUCCUGAAGAGGUGUUGAAUGUACCUCGUCCUCGCUGCCCCCAGACAGGACCCUGUGGCUUCUCUGGCUGCCCCCAGGAGAAACGAUCAACCACCAUGAGAAGGACUCCAACACCCCAUCUUCAGAAUCCUCGCCCUUCCAGAAGAGGUGUUGAAUGUCCCUCAUCCUCACUGCCCCCUGAACAGGACCUCGUGGCUUCUCUGGCUGCCCAGAGGUCACCACGAUCAUCCUAAGGAAAAUGAACUUGGACAUGCCCUGACUCAGAAUCCUCGCCCUUCCCGAAGAGGUGUUGAAUGUCCCUCGUCCUCGCUGCCCCAAGGACAGGACUCUGUGGCUCCUCCGUCCCCGGGGAGCAGCUGCUGCCUGGGAAGAACCUCGUUGCCUCUGUUGCUGCCCAUGGAUUGCCCUGCACUACUGCCUCUGUGCCUGCAAGUUAACUGAUUUAUGAGUUUAAGAGAAAUCCAUUAGGUCAAUAAAUAGUGGCUGGAGAAACAUGAAGGACUCAGUGUGGGUUCGGGCACCUGUGCUCACACGUGGGGAGCGGAGCACUGGGAGCCUGGAGGAGGCAGCUUGGAGCCCCGCCCGGGCACUGGGCUGAGUCCUGGCUCCAGUGCCCCCAGCUGCCACUGCUUUGGUUUCCCACCUUCUGGGGCUCUGUUUCUGGCUCUGUCCAGGGGGUGUGAGUGACAGGAGCACCUGCCUCCAAGGAAGCCCCUGGAACAGCACCAGACUCCUCUGGCUGAUGGGUAGGGCUGGGUCCUUAGUGGCCUUGAUGUCUCAGUGGGGUUCUGGGAGCUGUCAGCGUCUCUGGGUCCUGGGCUGUGGGGGAGCUGGCUCCUUCCUGUGACCCCCACUGGCCUUUCCUUUGUCCUUGCCCCUUGUCCUUGCCUCUCUGUCCCUCCCCAUUGGGAGCCCCCAAGCUUGAUUUGGGGCUCUCUCUCCCCUUCUCUGUCCUCUGUUCCUAUCCAGUCCAGGUGGCCUCUCUUCCUCCCCUGACCUGGGAGCCCUGGGGUCAGAGCCCUGGGCGUCAGCAUCCGGGAGCUGAUGCCAGGACCUGGCUCAGGGCUCAGGUUCAGAGACAACUCUUUCCCGGGACUGAAGGAAGCUCCUUAGGCCAGGUGCAUGGAGUGGAGUCCAUGUGAGGACAGCAUUAUCACAGAGAAAUGGUCACGAGUCAGGCAGCUCCCAGAACUGGAGCAGGUGCUGAGGACUCCACUCCAUGACAGGUCCGGCAUCAUUGUUGGACAGCAGGAAGUGAGGUGGGGAGAUCAGCACCAGGGCUCCAGUUCUGUCCCACACCUGCCAGUCGGGCACCUCUUAACUAGUUAAUUGCUCACAGCCUAAUUAGUGAACUGGAUACAGGGCCUUGUGCUUCAGCCACAGCACAGUGCCUGGAUGAAGCCAUCUGAGUUGUGUCUUGGGCUCAGUGUAUGUCCCUUAUCCAGUCCGUGGCUUCCCAUGAAUUUUAUUUAACAUCUGGUAAGGCUUCCCGUGACGUCUUCUGUCUGGAGGUAGGAAGAGGUGGAUGGGUGACGUUUAAUUGAAUUCUGAAAUCGGAAUACAAAGCCUUGUUUUAGAAACUUGGUUCUGCGACUCUGGUUGACCCUGGCCGGUGUACUGGGACGGUUGUUCUGGGCAUCACCAAUGACUGGAUCUGGGGAGGCAGGGGGAGCCAGGCCCGGGGUGGAGUCUCAGAGCACCUGCAGGUGCUGAGCCCCCCCUCUCCUGCCCCAGAAUGGGAAAGACUGUUUGACCCGGGGGUCUGUGAGUUUCUGUGGAGUCCAGAUGAGCGUGUCCAGCACCCGUGGGGAUCCUCCCUCGCCAUGGGCAGCACCACCCAGCCCACCCAGAACUCGGAGAGAACAGGGCCGCAGGGCAGGGGCAGCUCGGGGCUCUCAUGGAGCCUGCGCGUCUCAGUGCUCCCCCUCAGGGCUCAGAGCCCCCGGUGCUGUGGCUUUUCCACUCUGCAACUCACACCCGUGACCUGGGACUCCGGCUGCAGCCCGAGACCGAGAAGAACCCGGCGGCUGCUGGGUCCUGGUCCUGGGUCCUGCGGACUCGGUGUGCACCUGCUCCCAGCUCUCCUGGUUUCCUACUUGGCAGAAGGCUGCCCCUGGGACUUGGCAGCCGCCAUCACAGGUGAGCCCCUUCCUCUGACAGACCCCCUCCUCUGCACCCCUCCUUUGCACCCUCUCUUUGGCUCCCGGGAACUGUGGCAUGAUGAUUCUGAAUCCUCUGGG